CUAAGCAUAUCAAUAAGCGGAGGAAAAGAAACCAACAGGGAUUGCCUCAGUAACGGCGAGUGAAGCGGCAACAGCUCAAAUUUGAAAUCUGACCCCUUCGGGGCCCGAGUUGUAAUUUGUAGAGGACGCUUCGGGUGCGGCGCCGGUCUAAGUUCCUUGGAACAGGACGUCAUAGAGGGUGAGAAUCCCGUAUGCGACCGGCGGUCAACCUCAUGUGAAGCCCCUUCGACGAGUCGAGUUGUUUGGGAAUGCAGCUCAAAAUGGGUGGUAAAUUUCAUCUAAAGCUAAAUACCGGCCAGAGACCGAUAGCGCACAAGUAGAGUGAUCGAAAGAUGAAAAGCACUUUGGAAAGAGAGUCAAACAGUACGUGAAAUUGUUGAAAGGGAAGCGCUUGCAACCAGACCUGCCCGCGGGCGAUCAGCCGUUAUUCUUAGCGGUGCACUCGUCCGCGAUCAGGCCAGCAUCGGUUCGGGCGGCCGGAUAAAGGCUUCGGGAAUGUAGCUCCCCCCGGGGAGUCUUAUAGCCCGGGGUGCAAUGCGGCCAGCCCGGACCGAGGACCGCGCUUCGGCUAGGAUGCUGGCGUAAUGGUUGUAAGCGACCCGUCUUGAAACACGGACC
rnacentral:rRNA from 1 species